AUGAAAAACUCAACGGAAACAUUUUUUCACGAAGGCUUCGGAGAUAUAGAAGAUGAAGUUCGUUUUUGGUACGAUCUGCAAAACAUCAUCAGGCCUAUUGAUGUGUACUUGGAUUACUUCAACUUUUCAAUAUCAGUUGUUGGAGUCAUCGCAAACAUUUUUCACUUAAUAGUGCUUGGUAGAAAGUCUAUGAGAGCACUUACCGUGAAUACAUUCAUGAUGGGAAUUGCUAUUUGUGAGUUUGUGAGGAUGAUGUGCUACGUUAUCAUGAGAAUCCCAAAGUAUUAUCGAAAGUAUCAGAAGUUCAAAUUUGGGCGAUUUUGUGUUCCACCAGACUCGUACCUCACAAUAUGCAUUGUAAAUAAUUCUUCAAUUUUAUUCAAUUCCAUUCAGGAUCCCCUCAUUUCAAUAGCUGUCGCCAUGGCAGUUCUACGAACUGUUUCUCUAAAAUAUCCGAUGAGUAGCAAAAUUGGGUUCAAGAAAUACUUACUGAAAUACUUGUUAGCAUAACUUUUCGCCAAACAAGACUAAAAAUUCAAAUAUCUGUACGCACGCAAAAACUUGCGCAUAACUUAAGCCUAACUAAGCUCAAGUCUAAGGUUAAGCCUAAAGCCUAAUAUGGCAUCAGAAUACUAUUGAUAAUACGUGGUAUUACAAUUCCAUUCUGGGCACUUGAUUUUUCUCAAACACAAGUCACCGUGGAGUCUGACCCCUGGAGAUUGCCAGACGACUGUAAACAUUUUGCUGAAGGUCGAUUUUAUUUUUCAACUACCACUUCUCUACAAAAUCAGGGAUUUUUCUUCCGAUAGCAACAUUAAUUUUGAUUCAUGACAUUAAAAUGAGGAAUAAGGUGUCAUCCGUGGGAAGUAGUGCUUCAAACGAUCGUUCAACAAAUUUGGUUGUUUUUAUGACAAUUUCAUUUAUCAUUGCACUUGCCCCACAGGGAGUACUAUACCUUAUCAAAUUUACAUAUAAAAAUGAUGAAGGAGUUGUAAGUACUAUUGAAACACUUAACAAUUUUCAUGCGUUUGUACCACUUGCCAACGGAACUAUUCAUAUUAUUAUUAACUUUUUUAUUUCAUCCAUGUAUCGGAGAACUGUCAAUGAGCUGUUGGGCUUGAAAACUGAGCAUUUUGUGGCUCAUUCUGUGAUUCAACCAACAAUUAUUUAA